UCUCUGGUAGCUCAAUGGUAGAGUCGCUGGCUGUUAACCAGUUUGUUGGAGGUUCGAAUCCUCCCUGGGGAG
rnacentral:tRNA from 1 species